UUGCCGGAAAAUGUUAUAGCGGAGAUCUUCUCAAGACUUCCCGUCAAAACGCUUAUCCGAUUAAAAUGCGUAUGUACCCAAUGGAGUUCCUUAAUCUCGAAUCCUUUCUUCGCCUCUUUGCACCUCAGCCGCUCCGUUUCCAACCCUACAAGACACUCAAUUCUUGUUCACGAACUACGCCGCCAAAACAGACAUAUUUCGCUCGACCCCCACCUCAAUCUUGGAUUUGAUCUGACUUACCCUUUCGGCCCGGGAAUAAUUUAUGUGGGCUCAAUCAAUGGCUUGGUUGUUGAGAAAAAUGUAAGAAAAUCUGAAAAUUUAAUGAAU
rnacentral:lncRNA from 1 species